rnacentral:rRNA from 1 species
CGCCUGUUUAUCAAAAACAUCGCCUCUUGCCACACAUAGUAUAAGAGGUCCCGCCUGCCCAGUGAUCAAUUUCAACGGCCGCGGUAUCAUGAUCGUGCAAAGGUAGCGUAAUCACUUGUCUUUUAAAUAAAGACCCGUAUGAAAGGCAAAACGAAAGUUCAACUGUCUCUUUAAUCUAGUCAGUGAAAUUAAUUUUUCCGUGCAGAAGCGGAAAUAACUCUAUAAGACGAGAAGACCCUAUGGAGCUUUAAACAAAAAUUAACCACACUUUAUCUACUGGCCAAAGGGUAAAGAAUAAAAAUGUAUGGCCAUACUUUUAGUUUUCGGUUGGGGCGACCACGGAAGAAAGAUCAUCCUCCGCGAUAGAAAAUCUAGAACAACAGUUCAAAACUUAAAACAUUUGUUAUAGUGACCCACUAAGUGAUCAACGAACCAAGUUACCCUAGGGAUAACAGCGCAAUCCUUUCUAAGAGUUCAUAUCGACGAAUGGGUUUACGACCUCGAUGUUGGAUCAGGACACCCCAAUGGUGCAGCCGCUAUUAAAGGUUCGUUUGUUCAACGAUUAAACUCCUACGUGAUCUGAGUUCAGACCGG